rnacentral:rRNA from 1 species
GCCUAACACAUGCAAGUCGACGGGGUAACAGAAGUAGCAAUACUUGCUGACGACCGGCGCACGGGUGAGUAACGCGUAUGCAACCUACCUUUGACUGGAGAAUAGCCCGAAGAAAUUCGGAUUAAUGCUCCAUGAGACCACAAUACCGCAUGAUAUAGUGGUAAAAGCUCCGGCGGUCAAAGAUGGGCAUGCGUGCCAUUAGUUAGUUGGUGAGGUUACGGCUCACCAAGACAACGAUGGCUAGGGGGUCUGAGAGGAUGAUCCCCCACACUGGUACUGAGACACGGACCAGACUCCUACGGGAGGCAGCAGUGAGGAAUAUUGGUCAAUGGACGCAAGUCUGAACCAGCCAUGCCGCGUGCAGGAUGAAUGCCCUAUGGGUUGUAAACUGCUUUUCUACAAGAAGAAACUUCCUGAUGUAUCAGGAACUGACGGUAUUGUAGGAAUAAGCAUCGGCUAACUCCGUGCCAGCAGCCGCGGUAAUACGGAGGAUGCAAGCGUUAUCCGGAUUCAUUGGGUUUACAGGGUGCGUAAGCGGGGUAGUAAGUCAGUGGUGAAAGCCUGCGGCUUAACCGUAGAAUUGCCAUUGAUACUGCUAUUCUUGAGUGCAGUUGAGUUAGGCGGAAUGUGUAAUGUAGCGGUGAAAUGCUUAGAUAUUACACAGAACACCGAUUGCGUAGGCAGCUUACUAAACUGUAACUGACGCUGAGGCACGAAAGCGUGGGGAGCGAACAGGAUUAGAUACCCUGGUAGUCCACGCUGUAAACUAUGAUCACUCGCUGUUGGCGAUACAUUGUCAGCGGCUGAGCGAAAGCAUUAAGUGAUCCACCUGGGGAGUACGGCCGCAAGGUUGAAACUCAAAGGAAUUGACGGGGGCCCGCACAAGCGGUGGAACAUGUGGUUUAAUUCGAUGAUACGCGAGGAACCUUACCCUGGGCUUAAAAAUGCAGAACGACGUACCGGGAAACUGGUACUCCCUUCGGGGCGGACUGCAAGGUGCUGCAUGGUUGUCGUCAGCUCGUGCCGUGAGGUGUCGGGUUAAGUCCCAUAACGAGCGCAACCCUCAUUGUUAGUUGCCAGCGAGUAAUGUCGGGGACUCCAACGAAACUGCCGGUGUAAACCGUGAGGAAGGUGGGGAUGACGUCAAAUCAGCACGGCCCUUAUGUCCAGGGCUACACACGUGUUACAAUGGCCAGUACAAAGGGCAGCUACCACGCGAGUGGAUGCUAAUCUCUAAAGCUGGUCUCAGUUCGGAUUGAAGUCUGCAACUCGACUUCAUGAAGCUGGAAUCGCUAGUAAUCGCGCAUCAGCCAUGGCGCGGUGAUACGUUCCCGGGCCUUGUACACACCGCCCGUCAAGCCAUGGAAGCUUGGGGUACCUGAAGUCCGUAACCGAAAGGA